rnacentral:rRNA from 1 species
GUCUACGGCCAUGCCUCCCUGAAUGUAUCUGAUCUCAGAAGCUAAGCAGGGUCGAGCCUGGUUAGUACUUGGAUGGGAGACCACCUAGGAAGACCAGGUGCUGUAGGUG